CACUGUGUUUUAAGAAUUUUAGAAACUCUUUGGCUUCUUCUUCCUUCACUGGCUCAUUAACCAGUAUUUCAACCCCUUUUCCUUUGUCAAAGGCUUUUACUUUCACAGGUUCAACUCUAACGCCUUCUACAUUAUAACGCUUCCCACUACGUGUGUAAGAACCCUUACCUUGAAUCUUCUCAGAAGCACCAGCUAUAUCCUCC
rnacentral:lncRNA from 1 species